rnacentral:rRNA from 1 species
AUACGGAGGGUGCAAGCGUUACUCGGAAUCACUGGGCGUAAAGCGCGCGCAGGCGGCCAUUUAAGUUGGAUGUGAAAGCCUACGGCUCAACCGUAGAACUGCAUCCAAAACUAUUUGGCUAGAGUGUGGGAGAGGAAGAUGGAAUUAGUUGUGUAGGGGUAAAAUCCGUAGAGAUAACUAGGAAUACCAAAAGCGAAGGCAAUCUUCUGGAACAUUACUGACGCUGAGGCGCGAAAGCGUGGGGAGCAAACAGGAUUAGAAACCCCAGUAGUCC